AACGCACCUUGCGCUCCUUGGUAUUCCGAGGAGCAUGCCUGUUUGAGUGUCAUGAAAUUCUCAACCUUUCUGGUUUUUAUUAACUAGUUUGGCUUGGAUUGUGGGAGUUGCUGGCUUCUAAGAAGUCAGCUCUUCUUAAAUGCAUUAGCAAAAUCUUUGCUGACCAUCCUUUGGUGUGAUAAUUAUCUACGUCAUUGAGAAUCAGCUUUUGUAGAUUUAGCUUCUAAUCGUCUUUCUUGAGACAACUUAUGACAAUUUGACCUCAAAUCAGGUAGGACUACCCGCUGAACUUAA
rnacentral:misc_RNA from 1 species